UACGUAGGGGGCAAGCGUUGUCCGGAUUUAUUGGCGUAAAGAGCGUGUAGGCGGCCAGUAGAGGUCCGUUGUGAAAACUCGAGGCUCAACCUCGAGACGCCGAUGGAAACCGCUGGCUAGAGUCCGGAAGAGGAGAGUGGAAUUCCUGGAUGUAGCGGUGGAAAUGACGCAGAUAUCAGGAAGAACACCCGUGGCUAAGGCGGCUCUCUAGUACGGUACUGACGCUGAGACGCGAAAGCGUGGGGAGCGAACAGG
rnacentral:rRNA from 1 species